UUUCGAAUAGAUUAUCCUAAGUCUUUGGGAAUAGUGCUGCAAUGGCUUCAAGUCAGGAGGAGGUGACCCUUUUGGGAGCUACUGGAAGCCCAUUUGUGUGCAGGGUUCAUAUUGCCCUCAAGUUGAAGGGAGUUGAAUACAAAUAUGUCGAAGAAAAUUUGAGGAACAAGAGUGAACUGCUUCUCAAAUCCAACCCAGUUCACAAGAAGGUUCCAGUGUUUAUUCACAAUGAGAAGCCCAUAGCAGAGUCUCUUGUGAUUGUUGAAUACAUUGAUGAGACAUGGAAGAACAACCCCAUCUUGCCUUCUGAUCCUUACCAAAGAGCCUUGGCUCGUUUCUGGUCCAAAUUCAUUGAUGAUAAGGUAAUUCAACUUUUCUUCUUUCCUUGUUUUGUUCUUAUUUGUCCCCUAAACACCACCUUUCAUGAUAUCUAUUUGUAUGUUGGAAUAAGUUAGAGAAACAUUUAAAAAAAAAAUUGAAUAAAUUCUAUUCAUUAAUUGUAACAACUUUGUCUAAAAUCGUAUUAAUUGGGGUGGGGUAUUAUAUAUGUUUCACAGUUGGUUGUACAGAAAUAUCAGCAACACAAUUUUUAACAUGCCUUUUUUUCAAUCAUUUUCUAUUAUUAAUUAAAAUUUAUUAAAAAUAACAAGUUUAAGUGAAUCACACUUUUAAAUCUUUCCUAAUCUUGUAAUUUUUAAUCAACUUUAUUCAAUAGUAUAGUUGUUAGAAAGAGUGUAGAGAUUGUUUUGCUAGCAGUUAGCACUACUUUUUAUGCUAUAUAUAUAACCCAGUUAAGUCUGUCCUAAUUAUAAUAUAAAUUAAGCACUAAUAAAUACUGUGAUUUAUGAAAUAGGUUUUUGGUGCUGCAUGGAAAUCCGUUUUCACAGCUGAUGAGAAAGAGCGUGAGAAGAAUGUUGAGGAAGCAAUUGAGGCUCUGCAGUUUCUUGAGAAUGAGAUAAAGGACAAGAAGUUCUUUGGAGGAGAGGAGAUUGGGUUGGUAGAUAUUGCUGCUGUCUACAUAGCAUUUUGGGUCCCUAUGGUUCAAGAAAUUGCAGGGUUGGAGUUAUUCACAAGUGAGAAAUUUCCUAAGCUCCACAAUUGGAGCCAAGAAUUUUUGAACCAUCCAAUUGUCAAAGAAAGUCUGCCCCCUAGAGAUCCUGUUUUCUCCUUUUUCAAGGGUCUCUAUGAAAGCCUUUUUGGUUCAAAAUAGAUUUGAUGAUGUGGUGUGAGACUUAGUAUUUCUAAGAAUUAUGUGUUUGUUAAAGGCUUCUAUGAAAGCCUCACUGCUUCAAAAUAGAUUCAUGUAUGUGAGACUCAGAAUCUCUGGGGAAAAUUGUGUGUGGUGUGGACUACUUGUUUUGUUUGUCAUUGAGCUAUAUUGCUGUUAAUUAGGAUUUUGUUUCAAAAUGAUGCUUAUAAGUUGUAAUCUAGGAUUUCUCCCUUUGAAAUCCUAGGUUGUUCUUGACAUUUGCUAUUUCAAAGAAUAAAUAUAUAGCAUCUUUCUAUUUCUCAAAGUUCUUUCUCUUUAUGAUUUAGAAACUUGAAGCAAAGCUGUGUUUGCAAUGAUUGGAAUUUCUUUGCCAGAUAUUAUGAGGGACAUUGCGUAUAAUAAUGUACUAAUUGCAGUGGUAAACUAUUGCCAUGGAAAGAAUAAUCGAUUAUUGAUUCAUACUAGAACCCAAAAGUUCUAAAGAUCAAAAGAAUCAAUUAUAAUUAAAAAUAAUCAAUUAAAUAUGUUUGAAAUUGUUGCAACUGGUUUUCAAACUUGACUUUUCCUUUCAUUUUUCACUUGCCUAUAAAAGGUUAACUUUCAUGUGAUAGUGAGAGAGAGUAAUUUCAAAUUUUACAAAAGAAAAACUUCAAAAAAAUGAAAAAAAAAUAUUUUAUCAAAAUACAAAAAAUAAAAGAGACAAAAUUAAAUUUUACAAAAGAGAGAAAAGAAUGAAAAUUUGUAUUUUAUAAAAUUUUACCAAAGAAACACCUUCAAAAAGAAUAUAUAAAAAUAAAAGAGACUAAAAAAAACACAAUUUAUUUACAUAUAAUUUUAUCAAAGAGCGAGAGACUGCAGUUUUCUAAUUACACAAAAAAAAAAUGCACCCUUACUUAUAAGUAAGUCCACCACUGCCUUCAACAUUUCUGAAUAAUUAAUAACUCAAAACCAUUGUAUAGCAAUACAGAUAAUUAUACCUUUAAUAUUUUUAGUUACUUAAGAAUCUUAGAUGACAUUAUAAAGUUUAAAAUGAUUAUUAUAAUUUAAUUUGGUAAUUAUAAUUAAAUUCUUUUUUCAUAGGUAGAAUAAUUUAUCACAAUUCUGCAGACAAGUGAAAACGAUAGAACUGUACUACAUAAGAUAACGUUCCCACGCUUAUAAUGUGAACCAGUGUUACUGUGUACAAUUUCCAUUUUGUACGGCCCGAUUCUUUUAUUAGGAUGUUGCUGAUGUGAUCCCUUGCAUCACUUCUAUUCUAUCGACAAUGGAGUCAUCCCCACGCUGCUUUUUCAAUUAUUGUUUCUGGGAACAUGCGAAUAUCUAUUUAACUAUUCACAUCUGUAUGCAUUAAGUUAUGAGAAAAAAAGGAAGUAUAUUUACUUACAAUUCUUUUUAACACAAACUAAAUGAAAAGGAAAAAUUGAAGUUUGUGAUAAGAUAUCAUAGCAGUGUGUGGAAAGUGGAAACACUAAAAAAAAUUAUUACAGAAUGUAUUAUAAUGGUUUUAGAAUAUGAUACUUAUUCUUAAUUUAUCGAUGCCUCCUUACCGCACUUUAUAGUCAACAACGCGUAAACUGAAUAUUAUAUUAAAAGUGAAUUAAGUUUUUAGUCGUGAAAAAUAAGGGUUUUGAAUUUUUUAUCCUAAACUAUUUUCUUAAAAUAUUUGUUCCUUAAAUAAUUUUCAUUAUUAUAAAUAGUAUCUACAAUUAAUAAUUUUUGUUAAGUGUUGAGUUAUUAUUUAAGUGAUCACAAACAUCAUCAUAGAUUAUAGAUGAGGAAAAUAAAUUCUUGUUCAGUGUUGUACAUCUUCUCGUGAGUAAUUAUAGUAUAUUCAUAAAUGUUUAAAGCGUUCGAAUUUAACAAUAAUUCUUCUAUCUUUCUUUUAUAUUUUAAUAAUAUAAUAUUUUAAUUAUUUAUUUAAACAUAAUAAAUACGUGACAUGUAUGUGAUAUUUAUAUUUCAUGAUAUUUUAUCGGUUAACAGAAAUGUUAAAGGCAGAAAUUAUUUUUUGAAAGAUAAAUAUUUUAAGAAUUAAAUUUUAAAAAAAUAAUUUGAGAACCAAAACUUUAAAAUCUGAUAAAGGAAUAAAAAUUUAAUUAAUCCUUUAUUAAUUUAAUCUUCCUAGCUCUAUAAAACCAGAAGCGAUGGGAGUCUAUGACCAAAAUAAAUCUCUUGAAUUGAUUGUUUUAAGACUUUGGAAUUGAGGUGCUGCAAUGGCUUCAAGUCACGAAGAGGUUACCCUUUUGGGAGCAAUUGCAAGCGCAUUUGCUUGCAGGGUGAAGAUUGCCCUCAAGUUGAAGGGAGUUAAAUACAAAUAUGUGGAAGAAAAUUUGAGGAACAAGAGUGAACUGCUUCUCAAAUCCAACCCAGUUCACAAGAAGAUUCCAGUGUUUAUUCACAAUGAGAAGCCCAUAGCAGAAUCCCUUGUGAUUGUUGAGUACAUUGAUGAGACAUGGAAGAACAACCCCAUCUUGCCUUCUGAUCUUACCAAAGAGCCUUGGCUCGUUUCUGGUCCAAAUUCAUUGAUGACAAGGUAACUCUACUUUUCAAAAAUCUUCUUUUCUUGCUUUGUUGAUUUGUCCCCAAAACAUCACCUUUAAUGCCAUCUAGAAGUGAAAUCUUGGAAUAAGUUAGAGAACCAUGAAAAAAGUUGAAUAAAUUCCAUUCAUUAAUUGUAUUAACUUUGUCUAAAUUCAUACUACUGAUUGGUCAAGUUCAUUUAAGAACUACCUCCGAUUAUCAUGAUUUAUAAUCUUUAUGGACUCAGUAUUUUGGGGGAAAACAAUAAUUUUGGGGUGGGUUAGAACUUAGAAGGUAUUAUGUGCCAUAUUUGAUUAUAGCAAAAAUGAUACUAUGAUAGUAAUACACGGUUUAAUAUUGACUAAAAUUAAUUUAAAAUUACAAAUUUUGACAUAUCACACUUUUUACUUAAAGGUUUGUCACCUGAUUUUGUAAUAUUAGUAUAGUAUGUGUUAGAAAGAAUAUGUUAGAGAGUAUGUUGGUAACUCGAUUAUGAUUGUCCUUAUAACUUUAUAAAAAAAUCACUAAUAAAUAAUGUGAUUUGUGAAAUCAGAUUGUGGAUGUUGCACGGGAAUCUGUUUUCACGGUUGAUGAGAAAGAGCGUGAGAAGAAUGUUACAGAAACGUAUGAGGGUCUGCAGUUUCUUGAGAAUGAGCUAAAGGACAAGAAGUUCUUUGGAGGAGAAGAGGUUGGGUUGGUAGAUAUAGCUGGUGUCUACAUAGCAUUUUGGGUCCCUUUCAUUCAAGAAAUUGCAGGGUUGAAGUUAUUAACCAGUGAGAAAUUUCCUAAGCUCUACAAGUGGAGUCAAGAAUUUGUGAACCAUCCAGUUGUCAAAGAAAGCCUUCCCCCUAGAGACCCAUGAAAGAGAAAAACUAGAAAUUAUAGAAUGUAUUCAUUUUAUUUUCGUAUUGAAAAUGAGAAUCAAUAUCUAAGAAUACAGGGUGUAUAAUUAGAAGGACAGUGUGUAUAAUUAGAAGGAUUAAGUACAAUAGUCACCAAAGAAAAAGAAGAAGAAAGAAAGAUGUUUACACAUUACCACUCCCCUCACUACACAUUCUCUCUCCUCUAAAUACCACUAUUAGUUGGUUACAUAAUCCACCAAUUUAGAGUUGGGUUUUCUCUCUCACACACUCUUUCUAUUACCCAUAGUAGGUAUGUAAGAUUUGUCAAAUAUUCUCCUCAGCUGAGUUGUUUCAAUUGAGUCAUUUUUUCCUUCUAGAAGCUUUUCUUUAUAUGAGAUCAUUACAACCCAGUUUUUGCCUUUUUCAAAGAAGGCUAUGAGAGCCUUUCUGCUUCAAAAUAGAUUUGAUGAUAUAGUGUGAGACUCUCAGAAUUUCUAAGGGAAAUUAUGUGCACUAGAUGUUUGACAUUGAGUUGUUAAAAUUUCGUUUCAAAAUGGGUGCUUUUAAGUUGUAAUCUUGGAUUUUUCCAUGUCAAAGAAAUCCAAGGUUGUUCCUGACAUUUUUCUAUUUCAAUAAAUAAAUUAUGUAGCAUCUUUCUAUUACUCAAAGCUCUUACUCCUGAUUAUUUAGAAACUUGUAGCAAGCUGGUGUUUUGCAAAUUGCAAUGAAUGGCAUUUCUUUGCCAGAUUAUGAAGAAUAAUGUAGUAUGAAAUUGCAGCUGUAACUCUUGCCAUGAAAAUUUCUUUUCCUUAGGUCAAUAUUCACAUAUUGAAAUAGGACAGGGGUUAUACAUAAUGGCGUUAUUGUGAUUUUGAAGUAGUCAUUAUGAUUUUAACGAGCAUCUAAACAUCUUACAAGUAUUACAUUAUUUCAUAAGUUAUAAGGUUAAUUUGGUGAUUAAAAAAAAACUUAUGUAAUUUAGUUAAACCUCAUAAGAGACUUAUAUAAUUUACUCAUAUUAAAAAAAUAUAAUAAAAUGCAUGAAAAAAAUAUCUAAGUGAUAAAACUCACAAAAUAUUAAAUAGUUUUUCUUGAUUUGUCCCCAAAACAUCAUCUAUCAUGACAUCUAUAUGUGAAAUCUUGGAAUAAGUUAGAGAAACAUUAAAAAAAAUGAAUAAAUUCCAUUCAUUAACUGUAUCAACUUUGUCUAAAUUCAUAUUAUGUUUCAUAUUUAAUUCUACAAAAAUAUUAGCAACACGAUCUUUUUUUCAACCCAUUACGAAUUUUAGUGAAUCACACUUUUGAAUCUCUCUUAAUAGUUUCAAUAGUAUAGUCGUUAGCUUGUCGUUGUGUAGUUAGCUUGUGCAGAUUACACAACGUUAUUGUGCUGAUAAAAAAAUAUUGAUUUAUGCAGCACUUAAGUUGUGGUUGUUUUUUAAAUUGGCUCUAUGCGGAUAAAUCAACUACAUGGUGUCGUUGUUGUACUAGGGGUAUCAUAAAUUCAAGGACCCUAUUACAUGAACUAGAAUUAUUUUACUGUACAAUAAAAAAAAUUAGAGGAGCUAGUGUAGUACUACUCAAACACUUCGAUUUAGACUUAAUUAGAAUUUAAAACUAAUUAAAAUAAAAUAAAAUAAAAAACUAAUAGACCUUAUUCAAAUAAAUUGUUUUUUUUUAUACAUCAUUGGCAUGAAGAUUUUUUUUUACAGCAACCAGUGUAAAGAUUUUUAUGCACUCAAUUAACUAAAAAUGAUUUGAGAUAUAAGUUUUAAUAUUAGUUACUACAAAAUCAAACAAUUUUUUCAUACAUAACCCUUCUAUCUAACUAAACCUUUUUCAUUUGAAUACUCUCUUCUCGUGAAGUUGUGAACUAUGCUUUCCAAACAUGCAUCUGAAAUAUUCUUUUUCAUGCUUUUAAUAUCAACUUAAGUAAUAUCAACUUAAGUUGAGCCUGAAUGUGGAAAAACAUGGACCCCAAAAGUGUGUUUGGAUGCGCAUUUUGCAUGUCCCAAAUGCACAGAAUCCAAAAAGGAAAUUUGACAGCACUCUUAAAGCUUAUAUUUAUGGAUCUUCUUCUUACUUAUAUGGUACUCAAUUUUUUUACUUUUAUCCAAUGUGGAACUUAAUCUUACACUUGUACUACAAUAAUAUAGUCUAUAUUGCUGAUGCAAUUCCUUACAUCACUUCUAAGCCAUUGACCGAGCCAAGUUUUCUGUAAUAUUUCUUUUAUACAUACAAAAUUAUAUUCAAGAACUCAUAAAUUAAAUAUUAUAUUAAGUUCAUCUUAGCUCUAUAAAAGCCUGAUGCCUUGUGACUCUCGAUACCAAAAUAAGACUUUGGAAUUGAUUGUUCUUAGGAGUGGGUAAGCGGGUCGGCCCAGCCCGUCCCGCGUAAGGUCCACCCGCAUAAGUCCGCAUUGGCAGCAGAUCGGGUCAGUCCGUCCCGCUUCAUAUACGAACCAAAUAAAUUGUUUCGCCCCCGUCCCGCGAAUCUCGUGGGUCAAACGGGCCGGUCCGUGGGCCUAGUUUUAAAAGAAUUUCAAUUUUAAUAAAAAUAUAAUACAAUCAAAUUAAGUUCAAUACAGAUGUAAAUAAAAUCUCAAUAAUUAGUCAAUUGCAUCAAUAAAAUAAAUAAUGUCUUAACAAAAGAAAAUCCAAGCAAUAAAUCUAAAAUAUGAAAUUUAAAUAUCUCCUACAACAAAUGAUUCCAUAUUUGAAGUAGCUUGAGCCUUCUCCAUCCCCAUAUUUAAGAGUACAAUAACAAUGAAUCAACCCCAACAAAAAUAGGAUAAAAAUAAAUUCUAGAGAGAGAAGAGAUGUACUUUGCGUGGUGGCACGAUGGUGGGCCGAGGCUGUGCCGCUGUAGUGUGUCGCGUGACUGUGUGAGUGUGAGUCGCGUUUUGUUUUCCUUGUAAGGGAACGAGUCGUAUGACUUGCGCGCGUGCAUGACUGUGUGGUGGAGAAAAACCGUGAGGAGAAAAAGUGUUCUUAGCCUGCUACAAUGAUAACGGUUAUAUAUGAUGUGAGCUAUUUUUUAUAAUAAAAAUAUAUUGAAAUAUCGUUAAAAAUAUUUAUUUAACAAUUAUUUUUAGCUUAAAUGAUAAGAAUUGACAUUUUUAUUAUCUAUGACUUACAGAUAUGAAAAUGAUAGAUUAAAAAAAAGAUCGAGAAAAUAUCAAAAAGGAAGAUUUUUAGCAUGUUAUCUCUUAUGUUUUUUUAUCUUAAUCUUUUAUUUUUGUUAUCUUUUAUUUUUCUUAUCUUAUCCUUUUCUAUCUUAUCAUCUUUUAAUUUAAAUAUUUUAUUUUUAUCUUUAAAUCUUUAACUUAUCUAAUAUAUUUCUUUAUCUGUUAUUUUAAAAGAAAAGUUUAAAGUGAAAAAGAGAAAUCAAACCUAAUAUAAUUAGGUCAGGGUCACACAAAUCAAACCUAAUGCGGGCUGCGGGCAACCCAUGGAUCCCGCGGGCCAAACCUACAUAGUUCGCGGGUUAAGCGAGGUGGGCCCAAAAAUAUGACAUAACCAUGGACCGUUUAAAAAAAUUGGUUCGUAACCCACGUGGACGAUGGGCCCCGCAGGCCAGUCCAUGGACUUGGGCCCAUUUACCCACCCCUAAUUAUUCUAAGUCAUUGGAAUUGAAGUGCUACAAACAAUGGCAGCUAGUCACGAAGAGGUUACCCUUUUGGGAUUUAGGGGAAGUGCAUUCAUUAGUAGGGUUCAAAUUGCUAUCUAGUUGAAGGGAGUUGAAUACAACUACGUUGAAAAAACUUUGUUCAACAAGAGUGAUCUGCUUCUCAAGUAUAACCCAGUUCACAAGAAGGUUCUAGUGUUUGUUCACAAUUAGAAGCCCAUAGCAGAGUCCCUUGUGAUUGCUGAGUACAUCAAUGAGACAUGGAAGAACAAUCCCAUCUUGCCUUCUGAUCCAUACCAAAGAGCCUUGGCUCGUUUCUAGUCCAAGUUCAUAGAUGACAAGGUAUUCUAAUUUUUUUAUGUACUGUUUGUCCUCAAAACAUCACCUUUCAUGACAUCUAAAUGUGAAAUCUUGGAAAGUUGGAAUAUGUUAGAGAACUCAGUAGUUAAUUAACUCUCAAAACAAAAAAGAAUUUUGAAUAGUUUUCAUUCAUUAAUUGUAUCAACUUUGUGUAAAAUCAUACUUAUGAUUAACUUAUUAAGGGAGUUUAACUCAAUUAGUGAAGCAGGGGUGUGUAAGUUGUUAUAAAUCCUCUCUGAUAUAUGUCUUCUAUGAUACACUUAAGAACUACCUCAAGUUAUUAUGAUUUGAAGAAUUCUUGUACCAUAUUUGUUUCCACAUUACUCAAUCUAAAUUCUGAUAGUCCUAAUUAUUUUAUAAAAUAAUCACUAAUGAAUACUCUGAUUUAUGAAAUCAGGUUGUGUUUCCUGCAUGGAAUGUUGUUUUUAAGGUUGAUGAGAAAGAAUGUGAGAAAAAUGUUGAAGAAACAUUUGAGGCUCUACAGUUUCAUGAGAAUGAACUUAAGGACAAGAAGUUCUUUGGAGGAGAGGAGUUUGGGUUGGUAGAUAUUGUUGUUGUCUACAUAGCAUUUUGGGUCCCUAUAGUUAAGAAAUAGGGAGAUUGGAGUUAUUAAGCAGUGAGAAAUUUCCUCAGCUCUACAAGUGGAGCCAAGAAUUUGUGAAUCAUCCAAUUGUCAAAGAAAGUCUGCCCCCUAGAGAUCCUAUUUUUUCCUUUUUCAAGGGUCGCUAUGAAAUCCUUUUUACUUCAAAAUAGAUUUGAUGAUGUGGUGUGAGACGUAGAAUUUCUAAGAAUUAUGUGUUUGUCAUUAUCACAUAACUAAAUGCAUGUUGAAUCAUGUGCAAAACCAGGUUAGAAAUCGAAACUACUUUCAACCCCUACGAAGACACACAGGGGAUCUUUAUAUGUGUGUGUGUGUGUGUGUGUGUGUGUGUGUGUGUGUGUGAAUGAUGCAAUAUGUCAGCUGGAAAGUAGGAAUGGUGAAUGAUUCAAUAUUUUUAUGGAACCAUAUGAUAGCAAAGAUACUAGAGGAUGAAUUUACCUUGUCUUGCCUUUUACGUUCCUUUUCUCGCAUUUCAUUUAGAUCCAACUCGUCUCUAUCCUCUUCUUCAAUGAAUUCACUCAAAAAUAACAAUUUGCUCAAUGAGCAUGAAAACCAGACCCACGAGGUCGCCCCAAAACACAAUCUCUUCGAUAAGGAAGUUCGAUUCGAAGAUAUAAAUCAAAACCAUGGAUGACUGGAACAUUCUAGAAAUCCCUCAGGACACACUGUAUGUUCCUGAGACAAUUAAAGACAAACACAACUUUGAUUACAUAAUCAAAACUGUAGAAAAUAACAUUUCUCUAGGACAAGAUAUAGGGGAAGAAUUUCAAACUCAAUUUAUGAACAUAUCUGAAAAUAUAAAUAUUUACACAUCGGUUGUGUACAAGUAGCCAUCAAGCCCUUAAUUGAUAUGGGCAUAGAUGUAACAGUUUUAAUGUGCCUUAGAGACAUUAGGCAUAACAAAUUUGAAUAUUCCUUAAUAUGAACAGUAGAAACAAGCCUAGGACAAGGACCAGUAUACUUCAAUUGUUACCCAAACAAAACAGUGAGUCGGAUGGAUAGAAACAUUCUUAACUCUCUGUUCUUGAACAUCCACUUUCAUGGUCUCGACAUGAAAGAAAGAUUGAUCCCUGCAGCUCUAAUCUAUAGGAUCCAGUACAAGGUCAUGAACACUUGUGCAUCUAGAGUCCUAUUAAAACCUCAAAGAGGAGAAACAACUUUGUUUAUCACUGAUAUGACAAAGGUCAAUGUUUCUCUUCCGAGAACAAUAAAAUGGGAUGAGGUAACUCUUCCCAAAAAAUGGGUCAUGGAUAAGGCCACGCCCGUCUGUUCCCUGACCCGCUCUGACAAUUGAACAAAUCAAACAGGAUAACUCCAGUAAGGUAGAAAUAACCUUCAAUAGGAGAAAUUAUUUUUCAUCAAGAAUAGAAGCCUCUAGGUCUGAAUAUGAGUCAGCCAAAAGAUCUUUUUUAGUUAGAACUUGUACAAUCCCAGUAGGAUUAACCAGAUCUAAGUCCCACAACCAGUUUCCUACGGUAAAUCUCCAAGGAUUAGAUACCACAUCUAGUAUUCCUAGAACAACUUACAACCAAGAAUAGGAGGACGACCAAAAGUCGAUCCAUUCCCCAACUUAUUCUUCUAUGGAACCUUAUGAUAUUAUCUGACAACUUUAGCAUUGAUAAGGAAAUCCUUAGGAAAGACUUUUAUUCUCCGGAGAAUAAACCUCAAAGGAGAUGGUUUUUCCAACACUACAAGGGUACAAACAGAAAACAGAUAAAAGACAGGUUCUAUGAAUUUGUCGACAGAGUCAAAAUUAAUGUCCUUUUCUUUGAUUGGUUGCAUGCUUAUACCAUUAGAAAGGAUAUAGAUUACCCAUGGAAGCAAGACAUCAUAGGUGAUCCAAUGACAAAUGUUAUAACAAACUAGCAAAUGAAGGAUGGUGAGUUAAUCCAAUCGGAAUUACCUCCCACAACACAAUACCAACUACCAAAUGUCAAAGACAGUAAUAAUAAACUUGUCAUGGCCAUUCCGUUCAAAACAAAAGAUGUCAACGAGGAAGCAACCUCUAAAGACAUUAAAAGCCUAAUGGAACAGGCAAAUUAUACCAACAAAUAUUUACAAGUUUUUGGAGAGUCCAUCAAAACUAAGGUAAUUCCUAAACAUAAAACAAUUGAGGAAGCAUCAACAAGUAUUCCUAUUGAAAAACCACUAUUUAAACCUUUUAAAAUUAGUGAUAAAGCAAAACGAAAAAUUAGGGAACUUAGAAAAAAUAAGUCCUUAAUUGAAGGAGUAGGUGACAACAAUAGCGAAUUACUAAAUAAAAUUGAUAGUUUACUUAAAGUCAUCCCAGAAACUCCUCAAACCUUAGAAAAUACAUCAAAAAUGGUAACAAGGAGUACCUCCAAAUUAAUUAAUGUCAUUAAUGAAGAUAGUGACCAAAACUCAGAAAACACAACUAAGAUAGGUUCCGUAUCAGAAAAAGAUAUAAAUCCAAUUAAUUCUAAACAUUGGAAAACACCUUCUAAGUUAUAUUAUCAGCGUACAACUGCCCCUGACCUUCUAUUAGAAGAAAGAGGUGAAAAGAAUUUUAAGAGUUUUAGUGCAAACAACAUCUAUGAAUGGAACAUAGAUGCACAAACGGAGUAUAAUAUCAUGAAUACACUCCAACAUAUGACUAUGGUAGCCACAACCUACAAAACCUCCCAUGAGUGUUCGGAAGAAACAAUCAUAGAUAUUUUAGUGGCAGGAUUUUUCGAACAAUUGAAAGGAUGGUGAGAUAAUUAUCUCACAAAUGAAGAAAAAUAAAAAAUUUACAGCGUAGUAAAGACAAAUCUCAAUGGAAAAGUCAUUACUAAUGACGAUGAUAAAGAGAUUCAUGAUGCUAUUAAUACAUUAAUAUUUACAAUAGCCUAACAUUUUAUUGGAGACCCGUCUCUCUAGAAAGAUAGGUCUGCAAAAUUAUUAUAAAACCUUAAAUGUAGAACUUUAGCAGAUUUUAGGUGGUACAGAGAUACCUUCCUAACUAGAGUCUACACCAAAGAAGAUAGUCAACAACCUUUACCUUCCUAACUAGAGUCUACACCAGAGAAGAUAGUCAACAACCUUCCUGAAAAGAAAAAUUUCUAGCCGGUCUUCCAAGAUCAUUAGGAGAUAAGGUUAGAGAUAAAACCCGUAGCCAGUCUGCUAAUGGAGACAUUCCAUAUGAAAGCUUAAGAUACGGUCAAUUAAUUUCUUAUGUCCAAAAGGUAGCCUUGAAAAUUUGCCAAGUUGACAAAAUCCAAAGACAGUUAGCAAAAGAAAAGGCUCAAACAAAGAAGGAAUUAGGUUAUUUCUGCGAACAGUUUGGACUACCAGCUUGUCCAAAACAAAAGAAAAAACAAACCUCUAGGAAAGAAAUCCAUGAGAAUAAACCUGUCCACAAAAAGAGAUUUCCAAGAAGGAGAUACUCGCAUAAACCUUCAACCAGUAAGGAAAUAGAGAAUCCUAGACAAAAAUUAAAAUAAAAAAUAACAUGUUACAAUUGUGGAAAACAAGGUCACAUUAAUAAAUAUUGUAGGUUAAAAAAGAAAUUAAGAAAUCUUAAGCUAGAACCAGCUAUUGAAGACCAGAUAAAUAAUUUGCUCAUAGAAACUUCGGAGGAAGAAACAGAAACUUCAUCCUCUAUGCUCUCUGAUGAAAAUCUCAAUAUGGUCCAACAGGAUGACCAAUUAUCAUCAACUGAUGAUGAUGGACAAAUCAAUACUCUAAUAAGAGAACAAGAUCUUUUGUUUGAAAUAAUCAAUUCCAUACCUGGCCUCUAGGAAAAGAAGGUUUUCUGGAAAAACUAAAGAAAACGUUAGAGGUAAAACCUAGACAAAAGGAUUUUAUUACAAAUAAUAAAUUCGAUGUUAGUAACAUAUUCAAAUGAUUAGAAAAACACUUCUGUCAAACCAACAACAAUCUAGGAUCUCCAAACAGAGAUUAAUAAUUUAAAAAGAGAAGUUAGAGAACUUUGUCAACAAGAAGAAAUCCACCAAAUUAUCCUUUCUCAUCUCGAAGAAAGCAGUGAUUCUGAGAAUACUGAAACGGAUAACGAAAAUGAAAUCGAAAAUCUAGAAGAUGAAAUGUUUAUGGGAUUAAUCAACAAGAUUAAAAUCCAAAAAUUCUACAUAAACAUUAGAAUCAUAAUUAAUGAUUUUGUCUUAGAUACAAUGGCCCUAUUUGACAUAGGGACGAAUUCAAAAUGUAUUUUGGAAGGUCUAAUCCCAACAAAAUUCUUUGAAAAGACCUCAAACAAAUUAAGUACAGCAAAUGGUUCGAAAUUAAAAAUUAAUUUUAAACUAUCAAAUGCAAUCAUUGAAAAUCAAGGCCUUAGGAUUAACACAAACUUUCUUUUGGUAAAGAACCUUAAGACUAAGUAAUCCUAGGUACCCCCUUUAUUAGAGCAUUAUUUCCCCUUCAGAUAUCAAAAGAGGGAAUAACUACAAAUCAUUUGGGUAGGAAAAUUAUAUUCAAUUUUUCCACUAAACCAAUUUCCAAAAAUAUAAAUUUUAUAGAAAACAAGAUUAACCAAAUCAACUUCUUAAAAGAAGAAGUGUCCUUUAAUAAUAUUCAACUGUAACUAGAAAAACCUCAAAUAAAAGAAAAAAAUCUAAUCUUAAUUAAAGCAUAUUGAAUCCACAUUAUGUUCUGAUUUUCCACAUCCAUUUUGGGCUUUUGCUUUUUAUGUCAAUAAAUAGGCCAAACUUGAGCGAGGUACGCCUCGCCUAGUCAUAAAUUACAAACCUUUAAACCAAACAUUACAAUGGAUUAGGUAUCCUAUUCCAAACAAAAAAGAUCUACUCAACAGAUUGAAUUCGGAAAAGAUAUUUUCAAAAUUUGAUAUGAAAUCUGGAUUUUGGCAAAUCCAAAUCCAAGAAUCAGACAGGUACAAGACAACGUUCAUUGUACCUUUCGGGCAAUAUGAGUGGAACGUAAUGUUAUUCGAAAUAAAGAAUCUCCCUUCAUAAUUUCAAAAAAUUAUGAAUGAUAUCUUUAAUCCUUACUCAAAAUUUGUCAUUGUCUACAUAGAUGAUGUUUUAAUCUUCUCACAAAAUAUUGAUCAGCACUUCAAACAAAUUCAGAUUUUUAUCAAUAUUAUCAAACAGAAUGGAUUGGCAGUCUCCAAAUCAAAGAUCAAUCUGUUCCAAACUAAAAUUAGGUUCCUUGGUCAUAACAUAUAUCAAUGUAUGAUUAUUCCAAUAGAAAGGUCAAUAGAGUUUGCCAACAAAUUCCCAAACCAAAUAACAGACAAAACCCAGUUACAAAGAUUUCUAAGUUGUAUGAAUUAUGUAGGAGAAUUUGUUCCCUACUUAAAUAACAUUGUCAAACCAUUACAUGAUAAGUUGAAGAAAAAUCUACCUCCUUGGUCUGACAUCUAUACCCAAACAGUAAAAGAAAUCAAAUUCAAAGUCCAUUCUCUAAAAUAUUUGUAUCUUCCCAUUCCACAGGCAUUUAAAAUUGUCGAAACAGAUGCAUCAAACAUAGGCUAUGGUGGUAUCCUCAAACAAAGAGUCCAUACCCAAGAACAUGUCAUUGCAUACACAUUAAAGCAUUGGAAUUCUGCACAAGAAAAAUAUUCAACUGUUAAAAAAGAAGUUUUAGCAAUUGUUUUGUGCAUUUCCAAACUCCAAUCUGAUUUAUUAAAUCAAAAAUUUUUAAUCAGGGUUGAUUGCAAAUCAGCCAAAGACAUUCUUCAAAAGGAUGUUAAAAACCUUGCCUCAAAACAAAUUUUUGCAAGAUGUCAAGCAAUUUUAAGUGUCUUUGAUUUUGAAAUAGAAUAUAUUAAGAGUACCUCAAACUCUCUGCCUGACUACCUCGCACAUGAAUUCUUACAGAGAAACACUAAUGCCACCUAAGGCGAAGAAUUCCUCUGGUGGAGGAGGAAGGUCUAGCAAAGGAACAAUACUGGCUCUACCAGAGCCAAACACCAAAAAGGCAUCCUCAACAUUUUCUGGGUCAUCUACCCAGAAAUCAAAGCUUGAAGAGUCAUCAACUCAGGACUCCCCAAAACCAAUCACCACCAAACAGAUUGUGGCAAACUAUGUCUGGUCAAUCCAAACCCUCCAAGCUCUUAAAGAAAUGGGCCUCACCAAAGUUCUAAGGUUAGCCAAAAAGACCUGGGCAGAAAUGGCUUCAAAAUCAGAUGAUGAUUCUGAAAUAGAACUCCAAAAACAAAUCCAAAUUGCCAAGAAAACCAAGACGGUUAACAACCCCGAAGGCAAACAAACAAUGGUUCAACAAGACCCAACACCAAAACCAGCUAACAGCUAUGUUUCAAAGAAUAUUUUUUUUUUUGUUUUGCAGAUGGAGUCAGAGUAUUGGGACAAGAAUCCCUUUAAGGCAACUGCAAAAGCUUUCCUGCAGGGAUUCCAUUACAAGCCGACGAGCCUCAACAAAACCAGAAAAUUCUAUGAGUUCAUCUUAGUGGAUACAAAUUCAGUAUCCAUUAAACACUUCAAAGACUCCAAAGAUCCAAACCCGAAUACCCAUUCAACCAUUCAAAUCCUAAAAGUAAUGCAACCAUGACAUUAUGGAUCAAACCUAAACCAACCCAAGAAAUUCUCUGCUCCAUUUGACCAAAUAGGAUAUACGUAUUGGGAUUACAUUGAUGCCUAGACCAAUGUAUUUUGGCAUCAAAAUAAUAAAUUUAAACACUCAUGUUUGAUUUACUUUAAAAACAACACAGUGUAUAAUUUCCCAAAUUGGUUCCUCCAAUGGAGGAAUUAUUUCGGACCAAUUUCACAAAUUUAUCCAGAAGAAGUCCAACAAGGAUUUAACCAAUUCAACAAAAUGUUUAACCAGGAAUUAAGAAUUCCAGCUGAUUUAAUGUAUUUCUCCAACUUUGCUUUGUCAUGGAUUUUCUUAUGGCAAUAUAGAUAUGGGAAGACAGAAAACAUCAAGCAAUUUUCACCCCUGUAAAGACACGCUUUUGUCAAAUGAUGGACUCAAUUCGACACAUCAAAAGCAACUCCAGACCAAGUCAAAACUUGGUUUCAGGCCAACCCAAAAUUUUUAAAACCUGCUGAUCCGAAAACAUUAUUGUUUCUAAAUCAAAAGUCUCAGCUAGUAGCAUUCUUGGCUAGCUCCAAAUCCAAAGAAAGUCUGGCAAAGAAUCUAAAAGAGGUUCUCCAUCUACUUCAACAAGAAGAAGAAAGUAUCACAAAGAAGGAAGUUGAAUCCCCAGAAGAAAAUGAUGAUCAAGAUGACAAUCCCUUCUAUCAGAAUGAGGAUUAUUGUUUUGGCAUCUCUUUAGAAGAUGAUUAAUUAAUUAAGAUCACUCAACUGCUUAAUCAAUGUAAUUUAGUUUUUCGGUCAAGUUACCGGUAUUUUGCACCAAUCAUUGUAGUAGUUCCGGUCAAGUUACCGGUACUGUAGCAAACAGUAAAUCCUAUGGCUAUAAAAGGAGUCCUCGUCCAUAAUGUGAGGCACCCUUUUCAUUUUAGUCAUUUUUCAAGUUUCUGAGGCUAGAGGUGCUCUGCUUAAGAACAACUUUUGUAAGCACUUCUUCCAAAGUUUAAUAAAUUUCAAGUUUCAAUUCAUCUCCCUUCUCCCUCUUUGUCGAUCCUGUGCGGCUCUGCCGCCGUUUCGGUUGCUUCUUUUGUGAAAGCCUGGGAUUUGUAAAUCGUUUAACGGUGUGUCCUUGAUGAUUGUUUUAAUAUUUUGAUCUGUACUUGUCAUAUUGCAUCAUUCACCAUUCCUACUUUUUAUCUGUCUGUUUGAUCUCUUUUCGCUGAACUCUGGUAUCAUAUAUAUAUCAUGAGAGAUGUACUGAAAGAACACUAAGACACGAGAAACUAUAGGUUCAAAGACAAGUUGUCUUCAACGAUAGAUUAUUCAAAAAUUAUCUUUAUUAUCAUUUCCUAUAAUUAUAAAACUAGAUACAUAGUCGCAUGUUGCGCGGGUUUGUAAAUAAUUAAAGAAAUAUUUAAAUAAUUUUUUUGUUUAAUAAAUUAAAUUUUAAAAUAUAAUUAUCAAUGAUAUUUUAUAUCAUUUAAUGUUAAAUGAGAUAAAAUAAUUAUGUAUAAAUUAAAAUAUUUUUUAUUUAUCAAUAUAUUUAUAAGGAAUAUUCCAAAAUUAGAGGUUGACCACUCAAUUAAAGUUUAUUAACGUGAAGAUAAAAACAAGCAUUGAGAAUAAAUUUUAUGAGAGAAACAUAAGAAUAAAGUGAAACUGACAUAAUAAAGCAGCCAAAGAAAUAUAUUUAAUGAAAGAAAAAUAAUCAACCAUAAUGGUAAAAAACAUAAAAAUGAUACGAAUAAAAUACCAAAAAUUGUUCAUUUAAAUAGACUUUUUGUAUCUUUUGAUGAUGAAGAUAUAUCUUUUGACUUCUUGGAUGAUUGUAGCUUUGAACUUUGACUUAUGACGGUUUUAUUCGCCUUUUUUCUUAAUGGACUUUGUGAAAUUUGAUAGACUUCUUCAUUAGAUGAUGAAGAUACACUUUUUGACUUAUUAGAUGCUUGUAACUUUGGCCUUUAACUUAUAAUUAGUUUUUCACCUGACUCAUCUGAUGAUAUUUAUUGUGAUGAAGUGGGCUUCUUUUUUUAAUAAAAAUAUUAAUCAGUGGAUAAAACUAUUAAUAUUUUGUACAAGAAGUAAAAAUGAAAAUAAAUUAUAAAUAUGGUUACGUGUUCUAUGAGGAGAGAAUCAUGCUGAAUGAUAUUUUUUUAGAUAAAAGUCCUUGUGACAGUUUCAAAUCCUUCCUUCAAGUUGUGAGUUGUGAGCUGUGAGCAUGAUUUCAAAAAUAGAAGUGUAUUUGCAAAGGAUAUACAAUAUUGGGGUAUGUCAAUCUUAUUUGUACUUUGGAUGUGAAGGAAUUCAAAUGUUGUUAUGUUUAGAAUUUGUUGUGCAUCUCGAUCAAACAUUCUGAAUGUUGCUACAGCAAUGUCAUCAGAGACUUUCAAUUGUAUCCUCAACCUAAAAGAUAUUUUUAAAAUUUUAAUAUUUAUUUAAUUAUGUUAUAAAAAAUAAUUCAUUAUAUACAAAUAUUAAAUCUUUUUGUUGGGUACUUGGAUGGUUGUUUGCAUUCUUUGCAAGUGUAUUUAUUUUCCUCUUUUGUUACUUUCUUUUGGCAUCUCUUAUGAACACAUUAUCCUGUUAUUAUAUAUAUGUUAAUACUAAGGAAAAAAAUAAAGUAUUAUUAAAUAUUAUGAAUAUGAAGGUCAUGGAAGGUUAGCAUACUUGUGAUUCUUAUAUCCAUUCUUAUAUCUUGCAAAUAUCUUCUAUUUCUUUACAUUCUCUUAUCAAGAUCAAUCUUGGCAGAACUUGAAGAAUUAUAUACAUAAAGAAAAGAAAAGAGAUAGAGUAGUAAGAUAUAUAAAGUGUAGAAUAUAAAUUUUGUUAAGGAUUUUAAAUGUGUGAAAGUAAUCAAACCUCUGAAUUUCUUAACCAUAAUAGAAGUGACUAUAAUUCUUUUUGAGUCUUCUUCUUGGAUGUUGAUUGUUUUUUCAAAUUCUAAGACUAUGUUUGCCACAAGUAACUUUAACAACUUCAUUCUUGAAAAUAACCGAUAAAAAAAGGGAGAUGUGAAAAUAUAAUGUUCUAUAUUACAUUCUUCAUUUCCAUGUGAAAAUAUAAAGAAAUAUAUAAUGAAUUCUACAAAAUUAUUACUUAAACAAAAUUUAUAAUUAAUGAUAAAGAAAGGGUAAUUUAUUUACUCCUUUGGUAGCAAUUUCAAUCUCCUUAUUUUUGUUGGUUUGUCAGUGACAAGUACAUCUUCUUCAUUUCCAAGUGCAUGAAGUGUACUAAUAAUAUCUAUGAUAAAAUAUGAGAUAUGUUAGAGUGAAAUAAAUUAGUAAUGAAUGUGCAAAAUGUUAAUGUUGUACCUGUUAAGACAACUCUAUCAUCUACCCUUUGAUCUAGAGUUUUCAUUGAACCAAACUAUACAUAGUGUACAGGAUGCUAAUGGAUAUGUUAUUGAUUUUCUUGAUAAUAGUAGUAGGUAAAAAUAAUCUUUUGAAUGUUCCUUUGAUAGGUUUGUAUGUAUCAUUUCUUGAGACAAUCCUUAAAUUAUGUAUGGUGCAUAAGUUUUCAUCUUGUAAAAUAUCAUUGAAUUUUGAAAUCAUAUUCUCCCUUAUCACUACAUUUUGUGGAGUUGAAGUUUCCUAUGCAAUAUAUUUAAAAGUGAAAAUCGGAUUAAAAUUAAAAAUAUUAAAUAAAUUUAAUCAAUAUAAAAUGUGUUUAAAGUAAUUUAAUACAAUUUUUUUUUUGCAUUUUGUAAUAUGUAAUAUUGGAGAUAGUAAAUAAAAUUAUAUUUGUAAUACUUAAAGUUGAUGUGAAAUAUAUUUCUUUAAAGACUAAUGUGAAAAAUAAAUAAAUUUCAACUUUGUUUAACCAACAUAUUUUUUUAUAGAUUAGUUUGAAAAAUAAUUUUAGAUCAUGAACUUUGUUGAUGUGAAAUAUUUAUUUUUUAUAUAUCUUUAUAGAGUAGAAAAUAUAUUAGAAUUUAGAAAUUACUAAUAUGAAAAAAUUGAAUGAUAUGUAAAAUGUAAAAGAAAGUGAUUAUAAAAUGCAAUAUAGAACAUUGAAGAAUUUGGGUCUUGAACAUGAGAAACAUUUGGAGGUCAAUAAGAUUGAAUUGAAAUGAUUUGAUAUAGAUUUUGCUAUGUUGUGAAUAACAUUAAAAAAGAAAAAAAAGGAAAAGAGACGUGAUAAGUACAAAAUGAUAAUGUUCUCCUUCCUCCAUCAUCAAUUUUGUGGACGUGACAAUGUGAUAGUGAGGAGCACAACUUUUAUAUAAAUUAAUUUUAGAUUAUGAACUUUUUUUAUGAGAAAUAUUUAUUUAUAUUUAUAUUUAUAGAGCAUAAAUAUUAAAAUUAGAAAUUAUUAAUAUGUAAAAAUUGAAUGAUAUGUAAAAUGUAAAAUAAAAUAAUUAUAAAAUGUAAUAUAGAACAAAGAAUGAGAGUCAUGAACAUCAGAGAAAUUCGGAGGUCACUAAUAUUGAAUUAAAAUGUUUUGGUAUAAGAUUUUAUUAUGUUGUGAAUAACAUUGAAAAAGAAAAUUAAUAUGCACAAAAGAAGAAUAUUCUCGUUCCUCCACGUCAUCAAAUUUACUUAUUUAAAAUGAGGAGUUUAACUUUUAUAUAUUAUAAAUAGAUUGUCACUGUGUUAUUUUUAAGAGAUUUAUCACAAUCAUCGUUGAUACUUCCUAAAUAAUAUUUUUUAUAGUAGUAUAUUUUUAGUUAUUUAGAUGGCGUUACUAGGGAAUAUUUUGGUUAAAUGAAAUAGAAUAAAAUAAAUUUUAAAAAAAUAUUUAAAUUAAAAUAACAUGAUUAAAGUGUGAGACUCAUUGGAAUUUCUGAAAAUUUUCUUUUUUUUCUUUGUAGAGAAAGUACAAAAAAAAAAAACAAAUUGACUUCUAAAAUUUUUUAUAAUUUCUUUGACUUUCUUUCCCAUUAAAAUUUGAAACUUUUUUUCUCUCUUGUUUUCCUUUCUUCAAAUCAAAAGGAUCUUAAGGUCUAAUAGCUUGAAUAUUUCAUCACAAUACCCGUGAAAACGAGAGAUGGAGAAAAAUUGUAAGAUGUAAUAACGUUCCCAUGUACGGGGACCAGUGUUAUUGUAUACUAUUUCCAUGUUGUACAGUUCAAUUCUGUUAUUACGAUUUGUGAUGUAACCCCUUACAUCACUUCUAACUACUAAACUCUAAGCAAUUAAUUAACGAUGGAAGUCUUCUCGACAGCGAAGGUAUUUUUUUUUUCUAUUUGUUUCUGGAUUGUUCUCAUGAUUUUAGUGCAAAAAAAAAAAAAACGAACACAAAAUAAUUCGUAGUCAACAUCGCGUAUGCUGAAUAUUAUAUUAUACUAAAAUAUUGUACUAAAAUCAUCUUUCUAGCUCUAUAUAUAGCCCACCAAGCCUUAGUAAUUUGAGAACAAAACAAGUGUUUCGAAUAGAUUAUCCUAAGUCUUUGGGAAUAGUGCUGCAAUGGCUUCAAGUCAGGAGGAGGUGACCCUUUUGGGAGCUACUGGAAGCCCAUUUGUGUGCAGGGUUCAUAUUGCCCUCAAGUUGAAGGGAGUUGAAUACAAAUAUGUCGAAGAAAAUUUGAGGAACAAGAGUGAACUGCUUCUCAAAUCCAACCCAGUUCACAAGAAGAUUCCAGU
rnacentral:lncRNA from 1 species